ACCACCACCACCACCAUGAUGGAGCAGAUGUAGUUUGUUGCCACCAUGGACCAGUUGUGGUACUUUGGUAAUACCAUGAUGGGUGGAAACCACUUGGUUGGUCACAUGUGGCACAUUCGACAUGCUGCUGAGCUCCAUAUCUACAUAUGACCUGGUCACCAUCUGGGUCAUAGGCCAUCAGAUGAUAUUUUCUGCUUGGCACCAGCUGUUGGUGUAAGCACUUCUGCCGUUAGAGCUGCUAUCGAUUUGACCAUAUUGACUGCUGGAUUCAUAGCCACAAUCUCCAGAGGAGCAGAACCACCAACUAGCAUCACACCAGUCAUAGGGCUGAAGGUCACUGAGCCUCCAUAAUGGUGUCCUGCUGAAACAAUGGACACCAGAAGCAGAAGAUUCAACACCACAGCUGAGGACAUCAUGGUACCUGAGCCCCUGAGCUCACUUCACCUGUGAAUCACAUCUGAGCAACUGCUUUUAUACAUCUCAGGAAAAUUGAAGCAUUAUGCUUUGAAAAAAAAAAAAAACAGCUGACAUGACUAAAACUCGUGUGAUGGCACAGGUUUGUAUCCCAUCCUUUGCCCUCUGGCUCUGUAGACGAUCACUCCACACACCAUAGUAACUAUUGCCACGAGACAAAGAGCGAUGACGACGAGGUUUAGAUUCAGUCCCGGGCUUACGGUGGCCUCUGAAAUCCGCAGGGGCCCCUGGGAGAUGAAGUGAAUAGCGCUCUGGAUGGGAGCCUCUCUUUUGUGUUGGUGGUGGGACGGUGGAGCGACUGUGCUGUUGACACAGCCCUGAGAGCAGCGGGUGUUGGAAUUGUUGGCCUGGCAUAUGAUGAUUGAGCAGCUGAUGAACACCUAGAGAGGGAAGAGAGGAAGACAAAAAGGCAGAAGACAGGGUUAAACAGAAAUAUUCAUACUUUAUUUUACUUGUAGAGAUGUGCUGUAUUCUUUAAUGGUGUUUAUAUCAGAGUAUAUGUGAAACCUCGCUUUCAGAAAAACGUUUAAAAA